rnacentral:rRNA from 1 species
CCUGGCUCAGGAUGAACGCUAGCGACAGGCCUAACACAUGCAAGUCGAGGGGCGAGCACAAGGAGCAAUCUGAGGUGGCGACCGGCGCACGGUGAGUAACACGUAUGCAACCUGCCUGUAAGCGGGGAAUAACCCGUUGAAAGACGGACUAAUACCGCAUAAUACUAAAUUACUGCAUGGUAAUUUAUUUAAACAUUUAUGGCUUACAGAUGGGCAUGCGCAUGAUUAGCUAGUUGGAGAGGUAACGGCUCCCCAAGGCAACGAUCAUUAGGGGUUCUGAGAGGAAGGUCCCCCCACACUGGUACUGAGACACGGACCAGACUCCUACGGGAGGCAGCAGUGAGGAAUAUUGGUCAAUGGACGAGAGUCUGAACCAGCCAAGUCGCGUGCAGGAAGAAAUGUCCUAUGGAUUGUAAACUGCUUUUGCAGGGGAAUAAAGUGCAUCACGUGUGAUGUUUUGUAUGUACUCUGCGAAUAAGGAUCGGCUAACUCCGUGCCAGCCGCCGC